rnacentral:rRNA from 1 species
UUGAACGCUGGCGGUAUGCUUAACACAUGCAAGUCGAACGGAAACGAUACUAGCUUGCUAGUAGGCGUCGAGUGGCGGACGGGUGAGUAACGCGUAGGAAUCUGCCUGAUAGUGGGGGAUAGCCCGAAGAAAUUCGGAUUAAUACCGCAUAAUCUAUUCGUAGUAAAGUGGGGGACUUUCGAGCCUCACGCUAUCAGAUGAGCCUGCGUAAGAUUAGCUUGUUGGUAGGGUAAAAGCCUACCAAGGCGACGAUCUUUAGCUGGUCUGAGAGGAUGAUCAGCCACAUCGGGACUGAGACACGGCCCGAACUCCUACGGGAGGCAGCAGUGGGGAAUAUUGGACAAUGGGGGCAACCCUGAUCCAGCAAUACCGCGUGUGUGAAGAAGGCCUGAGGGUUGUAAAGCACUUUCAAUUGUGAAGAAAAGUUAGCGGUUAAUAACCGUUAGCCUUGACGUUAACUUUAGAAGAAGCACCGGCUAACUCCGUGCCAGCAGCCGCGGUAAUACGGAGGGUGCAAGCGUUAAUCGGAAUUACUGGGCGUAAAGCGUGCGUAGGCGGUUUAUUAAGUCAGAUGUGAAAGCCCCGGGCUUAACCUGGGAACUGCAUUUGAAACUGGUCAACUAGAGUAUGGUAGAGGAAAGUGGAAUUUCUGGUGUAGCGGUGAAAUGCGUAGAUAUCAGAAGGAACAUCAAUGGCGAAGGCAGCUUUCUGGACCAAUACUGACGCUGAGGUACGAAAGCGUGGGUAGCAAACAGGAUUAGAUACCCUGGUAGUCCACGCCGUAAACGAUGAUAACUAGCCGUUGGGGGGAUUUACCCUUUAGUGGCGAAGCUAACGCGUUAAGUUAUCCGCCUGGGGAGUACGGCCGCAAGGUUAAAACUCAAAGGAAUUGACGGGGACCCGCACAAGCGGUGGAGCAUGUGGUUUAAUUCGAUGCAACGCGAAGAACCUUACCUGGUCUUGACAUCCUGCGAACUUUCUAGAAAUAGAUUGGUGCCUUCGGGAACGCAGUGACAGGUGCUGCAUGGCUGUCGUCAGCUCGUGUCGUGAGAUGUUGGGUUAAGUCCCGUAACGAGCGCAACCCCUAUCCUUAUUUGCCAGCACAUUAUGGUGGGAACUAUAAGGAGACUGCCGGUGAUAAACCGGAGGAAGGCGGGGACGACGUCAAGUCAUCAUGGCCCUUACGACCAGGGCUACACACGUGCUACAAUGGGAAGGACAAAGAGCCGCGAAGCCGCGAGGUGUAGCUAAUCUCAUAAACCUUUUCGUAGUCCGGAUUGGAGUCUGCAACUCGACUCCAUGAAGUCGGAAUCGCUAGUAAUCGUAGAUCAGAAUGCUACGGUGAAUACGUUCCCGGGUCUUGUACACACCGCCCGUCAAGG